rnacentral:rRNA from 1 species
UGGGGAAUAUUGGACAAUGGGCGGAAGCCUGAUCCAGCAACGCCGCGUGAGGGAUGACGGCCUUCGGGUUGUAAACCUCUUUCAGUACCGACGAAGCGAAAGUGACGGUAGGUACAGAAGAAGGACCGGCCAACUACGUGCCAGCAGCCGCGGUAAUACGUAGGGUCCGAGCGUUGUCCGGAAUUAUUGGGCGUAAAGGGCUCGUAGGCGGUUUGUCGCGUCGGGAGUGAAAACAGCGGGCUUAACUCGUUGCUUGCUUUCGAUACGGGCAGACUAGAGGUAUGCAGGGGAGAAUGGAAUUCCUGGUGUAGCGGUGAAAUGCGCAGAUAUCAGGAGGAACACCGGUGGCGAGGCGGUUCUCUGGGCAUUACCUGACGCUGAGGAGCGAAAGUGUGGGGAGCGAACAGGAUUAGUACCCUGGUAGUCCACACCGUAAACGUUGGGCGCUAGGUGUGGGGUCCUUUCCACGGAUUCCGUGCCGUAGCUAACGCAUUAA